rnacentral:rRNA from 1 species
UAGUCCACGCCCUAAACGAUGUUUACUCGAUGUUUGUCACUAGAUGAGCAUCCAAGGGAAACCGUUAAGUAAACCACCUGGGGAGUACGUUCGCAAGAAUGAAACUCAAAGGAAUUGACGGGGUCCGCACAAGCGGUGGAGCGAUGUGGUUUAAUUCGAUGAUACGCGAGGAACCUUACCUAGGCUCUAAUGCGAGCGCUAUCUGGUGAAAGCCGGAGUUCCUUCGGGACGCGAAGCAAGGUGCUGCAUGGUUGUCGUCAGCUCGUGCCGUGAGGUGUUGGGUUAAGUCCCGCAACCGAGCGCAACCCCUAUUGUUAGUUGCCAGCACAUAAUGGUGGGGACUCUAGCAAGACUGCCGGCGUAAGCCGCGAGGAAGGUGGGGAUGACGUCAAAUCAUCAUGGGCCUUUAUGCCCAAAGGGGCUACACACGUGCUACAAUGGUGCAUACAGAGGGUAGCGAAGCAGUGAUGUGGGAGCC